rnacentral:rRNA from 1 species
GUGGGGAAUCUUGCGCAAUGGGCGAAAGCCUGACGCAGCCAUGCCGCGUGAAUGAUGAAGGUCUUAGGAUUGUAAAAUUCUUUCACCGGGGACGAUAAUGACGGUACCCGGAGAAGAAGCUCCGGCUAACUUCGUGCCAGCAGCCGCGGUAAUACGAAGGGGGCUAGCGUUGCUCGGAAUUACUGGGCGUAAAGGGCGCGUAGGCGGACAGCUUAGUCAGAGGUGAAAGCCCAGGGCUCAACCUUGGAAUUGCCUUUGAUACUGGCUGUCUUGAGUUUGGGAGAGGUGAGUGGAACUCCGAGUGUAGAGGUGAAAUUCGUAGAUAUUCGGAAGAACACCAGUGGCGAAGGCAGCUCACUAAGGCGAUACUGACGCUGAGGCACGAAAGCGUGGGGAUCGAACAGGAUUAGAAACCCCAGUAGUCC